AACGUACCCCCGCCGUCUGAAAAUACUUAUUGGAAAAAUGAAUAAAAACGGAUGUAUCUAAAACUAAAAUACAUCUAGAUAUAUCCAUUUCUCCGACAAGUAUUUCCGGACGAAGGGAGUAUAAC
rfam:Triticum aestivum genome assembly, contig: Triticum_aestivum_CS42_TGACv1_scaffold_249365_3DL